CUGGCUUAGAUUGAACGCUGGCGGCAUGCCUUACACAUGCAAGUCGAACGGCAGCACGGGCUUCGGCCUGGUGGCGAGUGGUGAACGGGUGAGUAAUACAUCGGAACAUGUCCUGUAGUGGGGGAUAGCCCGGCGAAAGCCGGAUUAAUACCGCAUACGAUCUGAGGAUGAAAGCGGGGGACCUUCGGGCCUCGCGCUAUAGGGUUGGCCGAUGGCUGAUUAGCUAGUUGGUGGGGUAAAGGCCUACCAAGGCGACGAUCAGUAGCUGGUCUGAGAGGACGACCAGCCACACUGGGACUGAGACACGGCCCAGACUCCUACGGGAGGCAGCAGUGGGGAAUUUUGGACAAUGGGCGCAAGCCUGAUCCAGCAAUGCCGCGUGUGUGAAGAAGGCCUUCGGGUUGUAAAGCACUUUUGUCCGGAAAGAAAUCAUUCUGGCUAAUACCCGGAGUGGAUGACG
rnacentral:rRNA from 1 species